GGUAUGGCGUACCUGGCCCGCGCCGUUAGGUUGUGAGUGCCGGGUCGCGCCUGCCAUCCUUCUAGAUAGCGGCUCUACCCCUCACGGGGCCGGAGUUCGUGAUCUAGAUCUUUUACUUUGAAAAAAUUAGAGUGUUUCAAGCAGGCUUAUGCUAUGAAUACAUUAGCAUGGAAUAAUCAACUAGGACUUCGGUUCUAUUUUGUUGGUUUCUAGGACUGAAGUA
rnacentral:rRNA from 1 species